AAGAGAACGUGUUUUAAAGAUGUGAAAAUAGUUAAGGGACAUUCGCUUGUUUAAUACCGCGCUGGAAAUUCUUGGCGACCAUGUUUAUCGCGCAUGCGCAUUCAGUUUUAAUUUUGUGUCAUUUGAAUCGAACAAGACAUGAUUCGUAUCGUUAAAACUUAUUUAAGAUUUUCUCUGUUAAUAAGAAAGGUACAAGCUAAAUAUUACUAUCUUUAUGAUGAAAAUGUGAAUGUUGUAAGAUACUCUUUUAAUAUGAUAUGCAGAUGUUAUGUCAGUCAUUUAAAAUAAUGCUAAUGAUAGUGAAUUCUCGUUUUGGUACCGUAGAAUACUUUGAUAGUUUUUUUUGAUAGCGUCGAACUACAAGAAUUUUAACGUUAUUAACUCAAUAAAUUAUUUAGCUACGUUUUGCUGUUUAUAUUGACAGUGACGAUGACUUUUUGCUGUGAAGUAGAAAAUGGCUUUGGUGGCAAGCUACCAUUUAAGGUUACGUUUCCGUACAUGGUGGCGCCUCUCAUUCCUGUAUCGACAUAGGACAGGUGUUCAGAUUGGACGAUAAAAUGACUCAUUUACUCAAAUACAAAUCGCCGAUCUAUACUGAGACAUAUAACAACAAGAAUGUCCGAUAGAUAUGCAACAUAUUGGAAACAAAUUAAAUAAGUAAUGUAACUGCUGACUAGUUCAUUAACACUUUGCCGUAAGUCUAUGUAAAAAGGAUCAGGAAGAAGGAACGAUUCUAGUGUGGCAUGCAAAGCGCGUGCAUUUACUUUGCCAAGGCCUCAUAGCGGUUCACUAUUCCGAGAUUGACCUUUCGUGCUCACGAAUGCUUCCAAAACGUGCAAAAGAUCUUUUCCGUUGACAGACUACUGACUCAUGAUUGACGCAUCGAUUGUGUGCACCAAUCACUGUAACAUGUUUUCGUUACGCUUUGUUAAUAUUACUAGUAUUAAUAGUAAAAAUAAUAUUAACUUAGUGUGUCGCGAAUUUGUUUGUUUGCAACGUGUUAACAUCGGCGAUCUAGUGAAAGCGCUAACACUAAAACUAGGUGACUAAUAGUUAACGUUACUUCUUAAGAUGCACGUUGAUUUUUAUCGAUGUAAAGAAUUAAUCAUCUAAAUUUUUAAUAGUAACUUACAAUUUUAUUCCGUUACUGGAAAAAGUAGAAAACGAAAUGCAUAGAAAGCAUAACGAUGCCAUGAAACAUGCAUUGUUCAUUUUCCAUCGUUUGUUCUCAUUUUUUGUGAAAUUUGCGCGCCAACUCUUGAGUUGUACCUUAUAUGCCUCUUAAACAACGCUCACAAAAACAACGCAUGCUCGUGCGCGCAAGGUUUACAAUGUGUUCCGAUCGUUGCAUGGACAACUUCAGGAACAAAGACCGGAUACGAGUUGUGCAACUCAAUGUUUAUCCAACCAAUUAUCUAUGCUAGAACCCCGACCAAGCAUUUCACUUUUAUUCCAAUUGAUGCACGAACCACUAUCGCGGUGAGGAACUACCACCUGUUACGUGUGCCUACAUUAUUAGGUACCGCUAUCACCUAGCGCGCUGCUCUGAAUUAAACGUUAUAACUAAAUUGUGGAUGUAUACGCUACAAACACAUGUAGCUACACGUUAAGCGAUCAAUACGAAACAUUUAAAACGUGUAUACCGUGAAAAAUAAGGAAAACAAGAUGACACUUUGAACACGUUUGCAUAAACACCUGCAGGCUAAUUAUAACAACGCGAACAGAAAAGGAUAUUUUUGGAUCAUUUUCGUUUCAUCAUUUUUGACCCACUAGACGAUCAUUGAUAUAGGAUAAGCUUUUACGCGAAACUUACAGAAAGUGUCAUUCUUAAUUAUAACCGAGAUUUUCGUGAUUACUAACAUGUGUUGUUGUAGGCACACGCGACUUCUCGAGUAGCUGGCAAGUGCCUCUCGCUCUCGUUUUCACCGCUCCGAGACUUUCGCCACUUACCAACUAGAAAUAUCGUGUUUACUUUGGAUGGCUCGACAACAAGCAUUGCUAACAAAACGUCUUAAAAAUUACGACCAAACAAAAACGUGUGAACACAACAAUGAAGCAUUGCAUACGGCGAAGGAGAAGCUUUUUUAUAAACGAUUGAGGCUGGCUGUGCACGGGCAAGAAAACAGUGAUAUUGAGUCAGACCAAAGCUGGAAGAAGCGGCAUUGAGAAAGGUCUCAAAUCUAUCCGGGUAUACGAAUAAGGCAAGGACUGUGAGACUUGUUCUUUCUUUCGGAUUGAAUCAGGAAACGAUUCACAUAAUGUACGCUGUGUUCUAAAAGUAAAUGCAGAUCUAAGGUGCAACGAUCGGUUCCUUCAAUAGCGUAUAGUAACAUGCAAUACAGGAUUUGCUCGAUUUAGAGAAAAUGUAAACGAAGGACUUGAUCACUAUCCUUAAGGAAAUCCUAGAGAAAUCCUAAUGAGAGCAUAAGGAAAUUCUGGUAUGACUCAACGGAGAUCUUAGGAAGAACCUAUAGAGGAAGUAGUAUAGAGGUUCUCGCUGAGUUCUUCCUAAACUGACUCUUUCCUCUACCCCAAAGGGAGCAUGUGUUGCACCCGAGUGUACCUAAUGCUGGUCGAGCUAAUUUGUCACGGUAGUUUGAAAGUCGAGCUCGUUACAGGUCGUCGGUUGAAUCAACGAAUCAAGGCCGGCCAGAAACACGUAUCGCGUUGCCAACUUUAUUAGUCCUCUAACUGAACGAAUUUUAAGGUCGCUCAAUCAUAUGUGUCUAUUAACCUUUCGCGGUCCAUUUAUUUUACAUAUUAGACGGAAAUUACCAGUCGAUUCUAAAUAUUGCAAAAUACGGAAUAAGUGAAAUUAAAGGUGACGAAUUUAUGUCAACAUUUCUAUUCCUAUUAAAAAUAUCAAAUGUUACCGAUAUCGUAAAUAAAAAUACUUAACUAGACUUGCAAAUAAUAUCUACAAAACACAGGUAUACCGCAAAGGGUUAAUUUGCUCUGAUAAACUUUCACGAAGACUAAACAUUAAAUUUCUUAUAAUAUUAUGUACACUGCGAACAAUAUCGGUUUGCUUUCACUACUUUGCAAUUCGUUACAAAAUUAUUACCGAUUUCACGGUGAUAGGAACGUCGAGAGUUGCGUUAACAUCGAAUCUACUGGCGUAAGUAGAUUAUGCCAGCAGGGGGUCAGACGAUGCGUUACGUACCAGCCAAAGCUUAAACUCGAUACUUUCCACAUAAGAUUUACGGUUUUCUCGAUUCAUAACAUAUACUAUUAUAUUGCACAGUAUAAAAA